GUGAACUUGUAAUAAAUUAGCAGGAGAUAAAAAGCAACAGUGUGGAUUUGCAUUCAUAUAGUCUUCUUAUAAACACUGAUAAUAACCUUGAUUAGCUGAUGAAUAUGUGAGUNNNNNNNNNNAGUUUACUGAAGCUCAAAGCAAAGCAAACAUGAGCAGCCUUUGCUUACUGCAGUAUCGCUGACAUUCUAGUGGAUAUCAACUGCUAACUGUAGGGACAUGUUAAACCAAUUCAUUUUCUG
rnacentral:misc_RNA from 1 species